rnacentral:miRNA from 17 species
GAAAUCAAGCUUGGGUGAGGCCU